rnacentral:piRNA from 1 species
UCCUUAGAAUACAGUUCUGUGCAGUCCCGCC